ACUUAACUAUUUCGUGCUAAUCCGAUCAGGAAGCUUCAAAUCGACACACCACGAACGGCCAGAAUUGGUUGGAAAAUACGUACAAUGCUGGGCAAAAGAAAGCGGGAUGUCGUUGUCGUGACGAGACAAAUACGUCAAGAGGACAGCGACAUCCAAAGCCUAUCUCCAUCGGCUGACGAAAAGCAAGAUAUUCUCCGCAAAGUCUUCGAGGCUAGAUUUGGACCAGUGGAAGCCCUUGUCAAGCCGAUAGCUAGGAGUCCUGAGGAGCCAUCGCAUCUUUCGUUGGCAGAAGGCAACGACGACGAGUGGGAAGGUCUUUCAGAUCAGGUCGACAAUGCUGCUAGUGAUGAGCACCCAUCUGCGGAAGUCGUUGAGCACACGACCUCAUGGAACUCAGCGAAGGAUAUGUUAGAUAAACCGGCCCGGAAAGCUUUUAUGACCUCAAAGCCACCACCGUCCUCUAAAGAAGCGCAGAAUUCAGCACCAAAAACGAAAAAAACAGGAGAAGCGGGCGCCGCUGCCGAUGAUCAAGCCAUGGAGGCUGAAAACCUGAAAAACGACCUUGCGCUACAAAGACUAUUAAAGGAGUCACAUCUUCUCGAAAGCGCUGAUGACCUUAACCCAACCGGCGCAAAAAGGCAUCGCGCGAUCGACCUCCGGAUGCAAGCUGUGGGAGCGAAAUCAUCAAUAUUCUCGCAGGCGAAAAUGCCUAUGUCGCAUCGCAAAGGGAUUAUUGGGAAGGCGAGCAAAAGGGAAGAAACGCGGCGGAGAGAAGCGAAGGAGAACGGGAUUAUCCUUGAGAGGCCUUCGUUUUCUGCAAUUGGUAGAAAUAAAAAGGGGCG
rnacentral:sRNA from 2 species